rnacentral:rRNA from 1 species
UACGGGGGGGAGCAAGCGUUGUUCGGAUUUACUGGGCGUAAAGGGCGCGUAGGCGGCCACCGCAAGUCGACUGUGAAAUCUCCGGGCUUAACCCGGAACGGUCAGCUGAUACUGUUUUGCUAGAGUACAGAAGGGGCAACUGGAAUUCUCGGUGUAGCGGUGAAAUGCGUAGAUAUCGAGAGGAACACCUGCGGCGAAGGCGGGUUGCUGGGCUGAUACUGACGCUGAGGCGCGAAAGCCAGGGGAGCGAACGGG